rnacentral:tRNA from 1 species
GGUGCUAUACUUUAAAAUAAAAGACUUGACCUGCAAUCAAAAAAUGAGACUUCUCUAGCACAG